GUACAGGACUCUGGUAUUACAUUACAGCUGCUGCCUGGUUAUACAUCCGUGUGAAUAGGAGGAAAUAAAUACACGUGAAGAAAUACCAGAAGGACCAAAAAAUGGGGCCCAACAUUGGCAAUUUCUUGUUUGGGUCUUGGGGUGGGUGAAGCAUUGGCACUUGGACCUGACCAACCAUGGAAGCAUCUCGUCUCAAUCUGAGAGGAGGGAAGAAAUGCAACCUCUGGAGCAUGCCCAGGCUCUGGGCCCUGGGAACUUGGCAGGCUGCUGGAGAGGUCAGAAAGAGCCUGGGGCAGAAAGCUUCACUCUGAGAUGGAAGUGAAUGUGGAUGAGGAAUUCUAGAUGAGUCACAGCGGUCGGAGCGGACCCAGAGGAGAUGGAGGCGAGGUCAACCACUGUGCUUUGCCGCAUCCUUUCUGUCGGAGGAGACAUCUGCUAAAACCAGCUGUGGCAGCGGCUUGUGAGUGAUGGAAGGCUGGACUCAAGACUGCAAUUCAGCUCAUUAAAAGCACCCCGGGGGCUGCUAUGGUUAUUUGCCCCCUGUAGUGCUGGCAUUUUUCAGGCCAGGUCAGAACUCAUUGCUCCAGGCUCUGCGCUCUCUCCAGGCUCUCCCCAUCCUUUGUCCGAAGGCACGUCUUUAGUCUGUUCCUCGUUUUAUCCACCACCUCGAAGGCAGAGACCUGUGUCUGAGCAGACUCCCAUCCCCUGCCCUGAACAAAUGUGGUCAGCGUGAAACGAAGCCCAGAGCGGCAGCGCGUUCCCCUGUGAGCAGACGGAAAGUUUCAAAGGCACAAAGGGUAUUUAGGCACUGACUUCAAAGUCAGUAAGUUGGAUGCUGAAAAAAAAUCUCCCCCGUAGCCUUUAUGUCAUGCCACUUAAUAAGUAAUUAAAAG
ensembl:lncRNA